AGAUGACAGCCUGGAGAAGGUGUUUGCAAAUGGCUGACUCAGAGGAUGAUGAUCAGCACAACGGUGCCUUCUGCCUGUGCUAGUACUAUGUGUUUAUAGGAGCGAUGUUAUAAGGUGACAGUUGCCAGUUCAGCUCCACCCCUUGAUCUGUUCACCAGAGAUUAUGAAGCCUGGAAAGACAAAAUGAGCAAAUGGAGGAAGGAGCAUAUUAAUUGGUCUUUAAAGGGUGCUUAAGAGUGUGUCCUUGAAGGAGGAGUUAUCUAUGUUCAUCAGCACCCAUCCAUACCUCAGUAGGAAGAGGACUGAGAACUGGGAGCCUUCCCUCACCUGCUGCAUAGAUAAGGCUUUCUUUGGCACUCCACAAGCCUUCCUUCAACCUGAAGACCCUUUCAGCAUUUGGAUGGUAAAUGGCAUCAAAGAUCACCACCCACCACUCAUAAGACAUUCUUCCAUGGUGAAAGCAUAAUGUGAAGCAUGGGUCACCUCUUGUAACUUCAGGGAUCAUGGAUUCUGUCCCAGGUGUAAAGGUGAGGCUGCCAAGGUCAAAAUGCAGACAGCAGAAGGCUGUAGGAUGAAGUGCAGGCAGUUUUGUGUCAUGUUACAGUGGUAUAGUCUUUUAAUGCUAAUCAGUUCAGUGAAAAAUCCUCUUGUUUUGAUGUGAAUAGCACAGAUCCUAUCUCCAGCAAAUUAGUGUUGUGAUGACUUUCUCUAAAAGGAAAGUCAUCACCUGGAGCAAUGUAAUCACCAAAGGAAGAAAAGUGCCAAGUCAUCUGAAGCUUUGUCUCUCCUGAUUGCAAUCAUAUUUUAUACUCAAGUAAAGAGAAACUGCUGUGACAAUGGAGCAAGGAAGCAGUGGCUGUUCAACAUCCAUCUAUUGUGGAUAUGGAACUGCGAAGCCAUUUUCAAGGCAGCCUCUGUACACAGAUGUUCACUCACUGGAGAUAAUUUCAGCAGGCACACCUAGAGCUUUAUGGGACUGUGGGAACUGAUUGAUUCCCCUUCCUCCAUCUAAUCAGCCACCCAGUCAGGCAGCUGAGGCAGCCAGGAGCAAUGGGAGGACGCUGCACGAUUUCCUUCAUCUUCUAAAUGCAAAAGUAUGAGGUUGUCAGAGUUGUCAUGUUAGUCCUUCCUUCUAAAUUCCCAUUAAUGUGUCUUAAAAAUAUGACAUCCCCGCACAUGGAAAGGUGGUAACGUGCUGCUCAGGUGCACAGCCCCUGGCCUCUGACCCACCUGGGAAGGCAACGAGCUGCUUAAGACCCCUACACCCCUUUGAUGGCCCUCCAGGAGCCUGCAGAAGAUGCCAUCCAGUGGCAGCAAGGUAACAUUACAAGAGCAGCCAAUAAAACCGGCCCUUGACACCAUCCUUGACAAAAAGUUGUAUCUGGUCGUGACUUAACUGCAUAAUCAAAACUCCCAGGAUGUCUGUGGGCUGUGGUGAAGACUUGAGUGACACCCAUCUCUAAUUAUGUUAAUUGGACGGCUUCUUUUUCCUCUGCAGAAACCCUUAUGCUUUUGUUUGCAGGGAAUAAAUAAAGAGGGAUUAGUUACAUUUA